rnacentral:rRNA from 1 species
CAGUCGCCGCGGGAAUACGGAGGGUGCAAGCGUUAAUCGGAAUUACUGGGCGUAAAGCGCACGCAGGCGGUCUGACAAGUCAGAUGUGAAAUCCCCGGGCUUAACCUGGGAACUGCAUUUGAAACUGUCAGGCUGGAGUCUUGUAGAGGGGGGUAGAAUUCCAGGUGUAGCGGUGAAAUGCGUAGAGAUCUGGAGGAAUACCGGUGGCGAAGGCGGCCCCCUGGACAAAGACUGACGCUCAGGUGCGAAAGCGUGGGGAGCAAACAGGAUUAGAUACCCGCGUAGUCCCUGUCUCUUAUAA